rnacentral:rRNA from 1 species
GAUGAACGCUAGCGAUAGGCCUAACACAUGCAAGUCGAGGGGCAGCACAUGAGUAGCAAUACGAUGGUGGCGACCGGCGCACGGGUGAGUAACACGUAUGCAACCUACCUUUAACAGGGGAAUAACCCGUUGAAAAACGGACUAAUACUCCAUAACACAGGGGUCCCGCAUGGGAAUAUUUGUUAAAGAUUUAUCGGUUGAAGAUGGGCAUGCGGUCUAUUAGCUUGUUGGUGAGGUGACGGCUCACCAAGGCCACGAUGGAUAGGGGAACUGCUAGGUUUAUCCCCCACAAUGGACAUGAGACACGGUCCAGACUCAUACGGCAGGCAGCAGUAAGGAAUAUUGGUCAAUGGAGGCAACCCUGAAACAUCCAAGUCGCGUGAAGGAUGAAGGUCUUAUGGAUUGUAAACUUCUUUUGCAAGGGAAUAAAGUGGGGGACGUGUCCUCCGUUGCAUGUACCUUGCGAAUAAGGAUCGGCUAACGCCGUGCCAGCCGCCGCAGUAA